CGGGCAAACAGGUAACGGGUCAGAGGCUGUCCCCGUUUAGCUCAAGGGAAAUUUUCAUUCCCCCACGGGAAUCUCCGCUGGCCCGUCCCCGUGGGAAAUUAGACAUGCCCAGUCGUCAAUACAAUCAAAUUUCUACCCUAAUCUUUCGAGAAUUACUCUGCGGAAAGAAGAAAAACCUGUGGAGAACUCGAUGAAGGUGGUAGUGCUGUUGGUAUGUUUCGGGAGGGAGCCAUUUUGGUAGGGAUUUCCAGAGCCGGUUGCCAAUAAAAUGGGUUGGAAAGCCAGGGAAGCGGUGAAUUGGAGCUGGAAAGCCAUGUAGAGAAGAUCUCCAUGAACAACGACUACAGAGACGCCAUUUGGUUCCACCCACGCCACCACAGCGCUCGAUCCCACCAUACUCCCAUUUCGGGAGAAUCCAACUCCAAUCCAUCUGUGAUUAUGCUUCCCUGAUAAAACGAUCGUCGUCACGUUCUGACCGUCCUGGUAAAACUGCAUUCAACCAUCAAAAUGGAAAAUUUCUGAUUCCAAAUGAGGGAGCAAGAGAGGCUGGAGAGAUCAGAAUAUGGUGGAGGAAGAAUGGCUCUGCGUUUCGAAUUGCAGGUUGCGGAAGGAUUGGCCGUGUUCGAAUUGGCGAUGACAGCUUUGAGAUUGAAUCCGACCGUGGAUAUGAAGCAGAAGAGUGAAAGGAGAAGUUUGUUUGAAGAAUACGAAAGUGCCAUUUUCUUAGCAUUUCACUUUCUUUGUCUCUCUAAUCCUCUCUCUCUUUACGCAGAAAGCUUGCUUGAGAUAGCCAUUAAUGGAAGUACACAUUUUUUGAUCAAACAAGUGGAAGGUGGAGAAGGAAAAAGGGCAUUGGAUCACGCUUGACCAUUGUACUCAUCAACCCAAGGAUUUUGGUUAAAAAUGAUUUUACCAAAUGGUAAGAGAAAGUAAUUUUUAAUUAGUUUCCAGAUAAUACUGAAGAAAAAAUGUUGCUCAUAUCUCAACUUUAAUGUUUCUAUAAUUAAACAUUCCAAAGUUUAAAAAACAUCUUUACAAUUUU